rnacentral:lncRNA from 1 species
CCUAUCAUCCCAAUCUCAACAAAUUUAGUUUCUCAUCAUCUUUACUCUUUUUAUAUCCAAUCACAAUAACAAAUAAAGGAUUACUCCAAAUCCAUUUCGAGGUCAAUUAGGAGCCAAAGGCUUUGGAUUUUGGACUACUAUCAAAGGCCUCCCACAUUUAAACAAAAUUUGGCAUAACAUAUUUAGCCAAAUUGCAGUUUUUAUGAACUUACAGCAUUGAGAAGAUCAGCCGUUGCAGACAGGGAUCUGACUCCACUUUGACAGCCCUGUGCAGGUAAGUAAUUAAGGAUAAAUUAUUUUUACCCGUCUAGUUUUCCAUCAAUUAUUUCUGAAAUGAUUAAAAUAUUUUUAAAUAUUUAAUAUUAUUUAAUUAUUAAAUCAUGUCCAAAAUAAAUAGUUUAAUCUUUAUAUUUUAAUUUUAUCAAAGUAAAAAAAAUUAUUUUUGACGGAGAAAAAUACAAUUUGAUAUAUGCAGUUAUCUAAUGUAAAAUUAGCUUUUCCAAUAAUUGAUAUACAAUUUAAUUAAAAUAGAAAAGUAGUGAUAAGAUGAACUUGAACUUGGAUGAAUACCACAACAAGAUGAUCUUCCUCCUUGCAAACUGCUGAAACCUCAUUCAAGAAUUUUGGAUUUUUCACCCUACCUGAAACCCAAGAAGGGAAAAAAAAAAAAAAAAAAAAAAAACUAUAAUAUCAUCUAAAUUGCUGUUUACCUGUUCAUCUCUCACAUGUUUGGUUUAAAUAAAUAAAAGGGCUAUUUUACACCUUCCGGAGUGUUGAACAUGUAAGGAAUGUUGAGUAUCUUCUCUGUCUGCACAUGUCCUUUCUUGAACUCUUCCACUGUCCUAUGGGUUUUAAGGACAUUAAAAUUAAUAUUAAAAAAAGGGUUAAUUUCUAAGAAACGAAAUUGAAAAAUCCAAAAUCAAAAACUAUAUAAUAAGAAAGGGAAAGAAGACUAUGCACCUAACAUCUAGAUAAACGUAGCCAGACUCCAGAAAACCCUUGGCUGCCUUAACAUCAACAGUGAUGGCUUCAGCUUCUAAGCUAUAAUGUAUAAAAAGGAGAAUAAACAGCCCACGAGAAAAAAAGGGGAUCCCAUAUCAGCUAAUCCGACAAAGAAACUUGUGUUUAAAUGUCUUGUAAGAUUAUAAGAAAAUAACCAUUAACCUUUUAUACAGAGAGCCCAUGAAGAUGAAUUGGCGUUCUAUACCAAGAGGACUUGAAACUUUUUACCUCGAGAUAUGGUGGCUCCUUGCUGGGUUUGCCUGAGAAAACCAGCUGCUGAUAUAGAAGUGGGGACUCAGUAACGGCAGUUUGCUGCUUAGCA